rnacentral:misc_RNA from 1 species
CGACCAUUAAGCCUAGCUUAGCGUUGGGAAUCUACUGUCCGGGCGGAGCUACCUGUAGCUUACCCUGUAGUUCCUGAAAAUGAACGGCGGAUUCGUGGUGUCCUCUGAGCGUAGUAAUAUUUCUCGCUUCUGUUAGGUGCUACGAUCUGGCAGUUAACCCAAUCUU